UACAGGAGAAAAAGAAGAAGAAACCUGAGAGAGAGAUGCUAUUGAGUUGUUGAGGCUUUCAAAUCUCCUGGCAUCUUCUAUUUUAUUUAUAGCUCCUCUGUGACUAAAUAUUAUUUUUCAAUUACUAUAUUGUGUUUUUUUCAGUUGGGCUUCUUAUCCUUUCUUCGAAGCAAUGUGACCACAUAGUAAACUGUUUUUGAGGAGUGUUUGCUGUUUGAGGUUACGAGAUGAAACCACAGAGUUCCUUAUCUUGUCUUUCUGCAUCUGUUUUUACAUGAGCUAGCAGAGCAAAAGAGCGAAGCAGUAACAACCGAAAACUCCUUUUUCUCCUCUCCCCACCCAUAUUUUUGAAGCCACAGGAGAAGUCCCCUGUAGGAUCCAGCUGCUGGCUCUCUCUGGUUUUUUUUCUGUCUGCAGACCAGGAAGUGCCCAGCCAUUUCAAGGAUCCUUGGGCAGACAGCACAAAGCUGCCUCUUGGGCUCUCUUCCCACAUGUUCAUCACACUCAACCAGCCCUGUAGGAAAACAAAAUCUGCCCCAAAGCACCUGGAGCACCUGGGAUGCCAAGGAGGAGGAGGCAGUGGAGGAAGCCAUGAGCACAGGAGCUGAAGCAUGUUCUGGCAGAGACCAAGUCAACAGCACACAUCUGACUAGGUAGCCUCUUCUCCCUAAGCUCAUGGCUGGAUUUUGGAGACAACACAAUUUUUCUGGCAUGAAAUGACUUCCUCAAUCAACAGAUUGAUUUCUGAGCAAAAACAUUUGUAAUAUCAAUCUCUGAGGGACAUUCAUUGUUUGUGCACAGCCUCCAGCAAAUCACAUGGAAAUUUUGCCUGAGAAACAGAAUUAGUGUCAUUAUCUAGAGACCCAACUUGAAAAGAUAGCUCUGAUAAUGACAUAGGUUUAGUGCUGCCUCUCGGAAACUCCAACUUUAAUAAGAUGGCCGGGGGAGCUGUUUAGACAAACAUUUCCUGCUGGCAGAAGCCAUUUCUGAAUCACUUGUCAAGCUCCAGGAGGCUGGUAUGAACCCCAGAGUGGAAAGCUGCUGGCACCCGACAGAGCCACAUAUAAGGAAUGUCACAGUGGAAAGUUUUCAGGACACACUGCAAGCUGUGCUGGCUCCAUCCUGCAGACAGGUAAGAAGCUAUUCCAGCUUUCCAUGAGGACAGUCACAGCUGAGGAACGGUUGGUUAUCUCUGAUGGACACGGCAGCUGGAGGAGGUGUCUGCAACCCAGGAUAACUGGUAGCAGAAAGGAAGCAGCAUGCACAAGGUCUCAGCAGUGGGAAAAGAUGGGCACCCCUUCUCAUCCGCAACUUGCAAAUUAUUUUACCACAAAUGAGGUGAGAAACUUCAUGGGCCGAGAAAAAAGUUACCUCAAAGAAAAAUCUGAUUCGGUAUUAGGAAAAAAACCCAAACAAUGUUGGAAGAGAUUCCCCAGAAGAGCUGUGGAAUUUUUGUUGUUGUAGGUUUCCAAAACUCAGGUGGACACAUCCGGAGUGAUCUGCCCUCAUGCUGAGAUUAGCCCAGCUCUGAGUGAGAAGCUGGAGCACACAACCUCGCCAGGUCCCUUAAAGGUUCAGUCAUUCUACAUCUAUGCUACUUUGUCCCUGCAAUCAUGUGAUGAAUGCCAGGCCAGGAGAUAACAAGUCUCAGGUUUUCCCAAGCGUGAUCUUGUAUCCUUACCCACAUUUGCUGUGCUGGUGGUGCAGGUCAUCACCUCCCAUUCCAGGCACGUGCCAUCAGAGGCACAGCACCCAACCCUUCUAGGAAAAAUCCUUGGCUUCUCAAAUAAUAGUUUCAAGCAUGCAUUUGAACCAGCCUGGGGUUGAAGGACUGGUAUCACACCACCCAAGGUCAGGCAGAGACCCAAGGCAGCACCAGUCUGGGGGCACAGCGAGUUGUUUGUCCAACACAACCACAUGCUGCUGCGGCGUCAAUACACGGAGCAUGUCUGAGCACAGCCCAGGCCGCUGCACACCGGGGUUCUGUGUCAGAGUGUGCAGCACAAACAGGCACCAAGCACAGGUCACUUCGUGUUUGGGUCUGUUUUCAUCCCCUGAUGCUUCAGGUCAGCAGGUGUCACAGCCUGGAAAAUGACUUUUCAGAAUCAGUGCAACAAAGGCUGCUCAAGAAACAAUUAAGCCUUAGAUCAGCCUCACAUCUUUUAAAAGCUAGUUGGUCAAAAUCAAAAGCCAGAGGAUUGUGUAUGUUUGUCAUUUCAACGCAGCAGUAAGUAUUUUAAUGUGCAAUGAAUCAUUACUCACAGAAUGACAGAAUAUGCUGAGUUGGAAGGGACCCCAGGGAUCACUGAGUCCAACUCCCAGCCCUGCUCAGCACCAUCCCCAAGAACUACACCACAUGCCUAAGAGUAUUGUCCAAAUGUUUCUUGAGCUCUGUCAGGCGGGUGCUGUGACCACUUCCCUGGCGAGCUGUUCUAGGGCCCAACCACCUCUGGGUGAAGAACCUUUUCCUAAUGUCCAACCUGAACCUCCCCUGGCACAGCUUCAGGCCAUUCCCUCAGAUCCUGUCACUGGUCAGGGAAGAGAUCAGUGCCUGCCCCUACUUUUCCCCUCACAAGGAACUUGGGGACUGCAAGGUCUCCCCUCUGUCUCCUCCAGGCAGAACAGACCAAGAGACUUCAGCUGCUCUCAUAUGGCUUCUCCUCCAGGCCAUUAAAUGCAGAGCCUGGGAGGCUAUAGGUUUGGGCUGGGCAGAGCCAACCAACCAGAAGCAAUGCUAUUAUUGCAUGAUUCCAGUUUUUAAACAACUCUCCUGUCCUUUGCUAUGCUCCUGGUGAAGUUCUGAUGUAGUAGACUGGAGAUGGGACCAUUACUGCCGCUGGUUAUUUUUGCUGGAAACGGCUGUUGAUAUUUUUUCAGUCUCAUUAACUUAGCCAGCAGUUUCUGGAAAACAGAAAAGUCAGUGCUUUCUCUUGACCCUUCAAAACACAACCUAAGCUUUAGGAAGCCUGUUGUUGGAGAGUUCUGGAUCCACAGUCCUGCCCCUACUGUUGGGGCCACUGAGAAAGCACUGCUGGCAGUAGGGUGGCCGUGCCCCUGGUACCUGUGUUCCAGCUCCAGGGAAGCAAUCUUCUACAAAGCAGUUGGUGCCAAACACUGCCCAGGCUGCAGAGCUGUAAUAAAAAGCCCUCCAGGUUCUUUUGGGGUGAGUGAAUGAACACCACUGCCUCUGAACUAAAUGCUACUUCUAAGAGGCUCAGUAGAGCUGUAGCAUUCUAUAACCCCAAUCUGAACACUGUUUCUCCUCACCCAUCUGCACAGCUGAAAGAGAGUGGCCCCUUGCCUUCCCCAUUUUUGUAAACAAGGCUGCAACCUUUAUUCCUGCCUUGAGGAACGGAUUGAAUUGCUUUUGAUGAUCCAGAACAAUGUCAUCCUUUAUUCCCUCUUCAAAAGCAAUUAGUAUUUCAGCUUGAUUAUUUGCAGAUAAUAUGAGUCACCAGAUAAAACACACUGAAUACAAAAUGCUCCUUGGGAGGGAAAGAGAUAAAUGGUAUUUAAGGUUAAAAAUCCAGCAUAUGCUUAAAUAUCACAAAACUGUCACAUAUCAAGGAAAAAAAUUCAGUCCCACUUCAUGAAACAGAAAGAUUGAUCCUAUGUUUGUUUAACCCCAAACUCUUAAUUAAUUUGUUGCAGGAUCAGGGCACCAUGACACCAAAGGCAGAUUGUGUCACUGUCACAGCACAAGAAUAAGUUUAAUGCAACAUGAUUUCAGAGUUGUCAAACUACCCAAAAUUCCAGGCCAAAUAUGUCAUUUAAUCUUCAAAAGACAAUUUUGGAAUUUUCUUCUCUUAUUUCUUUUCUGAUUUCUAGACUGGUGUAUUGCAGCUCGUUGGUAUUUUCAGCUCUUUUACCCAGAAACCCAAGGCUAGAAGCUGACUCAUUCUUAAUAGAAUGUACAAAUCUCACAGGAGCAGCAUUAUUUCAGGAACUCACAUUUUAAUGGGAACAUCAAAUCUAUCUGGCAUUAUGAUAAGGUCAUCAGAAAUUAGCAAUACUGAAGGUUUAUCCUGGGUUUGCUUCUAACACAGAUGAUGGCUGAUACAUCCCUUCUCUGUACUGAUGCUGCCAAGUAGCUUCAUUGGUAAACUUUGAAAUAUAUACAUAAAAAUGGAGUUUUGUGAAAAUUUAGACCAAAAAUAAAAUUUGCUUUUCUCUUUUUCUGAAAA